rnacentral:lncRNA from 1 species
UCCAAGUCUGGGACCGGUCCCAGAGCCAAAACCGAAAAAUUUAUUUUUCGUCCAAAAUUUUCAAAAAUUUUAUAUAAUAUCCGCAACAUAUCCAACAUCAAAAAUACAUAAUAUCCAUCCCCAAAGACUUCCAAUAAAAUUUCAUAAAUAAAUUUUGAAAAAUAAUCUCAAAGGUAUUCAAUUUGUCAAAUAUUGUUGAUCUGAAA